rnacentral:rRNA from 1 species
UGCGUAGGAGGCAAGCGUUAUCCGGAUUUAUUGGGCGUAAAGAGUGCGUAGGCGGUUUUUCAAGUCUUGUCUUAAAUGUCAUGGCUCAACCAUGAAUUUGGGUAAGAUACUGAAUUACUAGAAGAUCGUUCGGGACAUCGGAACAGUUGGUGUAGUAGUGAAAUACGUUGAUAUCAACUGGAACACCGAAGGCGAAGGCAGAUGUCUGGAAUUUUCUUGACGCUGAGGCACGAAAGCUAGGGGAGCGAAA